rnacentral:rRNA from 1 species
CAAUAGCGUAUAUUAAAGUUGUUGCGGUUAAAAAGCUCGUAGUUGGAUUUCUGCUGAGAACGACCGGUCCGCCCUUUGGGUGUGUAUCUGGCUCUUUCUUGGCAUCUUCUUGGUGAACGUUGCUGCACUUGACUGUGUGGAGCGCUACCCAGGACUUUUACUUUGAGGAAAUUAGAGUGUUUCAAGCAGGCAUACGCCUUGAAUACAUUAGCAUGGAAUAAUAAGAUAGGACCUCGGUUCUAUUUUGUUGGUUUCUAGAGCUGAGGUAAUGAUUAAUAGGGAUAGUUGGGGGCAUUCGUAUUUAACUGUCAGAGGUGAAAUUCUUGGAUUUGUCAAAGACGGACUACUGCGAAAGCAUUUGCCAAGGAUGUUUUCAUUGA